AAUAGAUACCCCGGUAGUCCACGCCGUAAACGAUGAGUGCUAAGUGUUAGAGGGUUUCCGCCCUUUAGUGCUGCAGCUAACGCAUUAAGCACUCCGCCUGGGGGAGUACGGUCGCAAGACUGAAACUCAAAGGAAUUGACGGGGGCCCGCACAAGCGGUGGAGCAUGUGGUUUAAUUCGAAGCAACGCGAAGAACCUUACCAGGUCUUGACAUCCUCUGACAACUCUAGAGAUAGAGCGUUCCCCUUCGGGGGACAGAGUGACAGGUGGUGCAUGGUUGUCGUCAGCUCGUGUCGUGAGAUGUUGGGUUAAGUCCCGCAACGAGCGCAACCCUUGAUCUUAGUUGCCAGCAUUCAGUUGGGCACUCUAAGGUGACUGCCGGUGACAAACCGGAGGAAGGUGGGGAUGACGUCAAAUCAUCAUGCCCCUUAUGACCUGGGCUACACACGUGCUACAAUGGAUGGUACAAAGGGCUGCAAGACCGCGAGGUCAAGCCAAUCCCAUAAAACCAUUCUCAGUUCGGAUUGUAGG
rnacentral:rRNA from 1 species